UCUCCUUGAGGAAAUUAAUGUCAGAUCUAGAUGGAGAGACAGUCCUUCGUCACAUAUCUGUGUAUAAGCAUAUGCCAUGGUCUCACCAACAGGCUCAAAUGCUGUUCAAAAUGAUUCAGCGGACCGUAAACAUCACAAGGGAGUCAAUACUAGAUUUAGGUCGCAUUGCUGGUGGCAUGAGCUGUGAAUGGCUGAAGCUUUGGGUAAAUGAG